AGGCAUUUCGUAUAGUGGUUAUUACAGUGGGCUCCAAACCCAUUAACGAGUGUUCGAUUCAUUCAAUGCCUGCCA
rnacentral:tRNA from 4 species